AGUGAACGCUGGCGGCAUGCCUAACACAUGCAAGUCGAGCGGCAGCGCGGGGGCAACCCUGGCGGCGAGCGGCGGACGGGUGAGGGAUUCGCCGGAAUCUGCCUUUUUGUUGGGGAUAACGUAGCUACACUAAAGCUAAUACCGCAUACGACCAUCGGGUGAACGGGGGGGUCCGCAAGGGCUCACGCGGAUAGCUGAGCCGACGACCGAUUAGCUAGUUGGUGGGGUAAAGGCCUACCAAGGCGACGAACGGUAGCUGGACUGAGAGGCUGAUCAGCCACACUGGAACUGAGACACGGCCCAGACUCCUACGGGAGGCAGCAGUGGGGAAUAUUGGGCAAUGGGCGCAAGCCUGAUCCAGCCAUGCCGCGUGUGUGAAGAAGGCCUUCGGGUUGUAAAGCACUGUUGUCCGGAAAGAACUCCCUGGAGCUAAUACCUGCGGGGGAUGACGGUACCGGAAGAAUAAGCACCGGCUAACUACGUG
rnacentral:rRNA from 1 species